rnacentral:rRNA from 1 species
GACGAACGCUGGCGGCAGGCUUAACACAUGCAAGUCUAACGGGUGUAGCAACACAUCAGUGGCGCACGGGUGAGUAACGCGUGGGAACGUGCCCUUCAGUACGGAACAACCUCGGGAAACUGAGGCUAAUACCGUAUAAUGUCUUCGGACCAAAGAUUUAUCGCUGAAGGAUCGGCCCGCGUUGGAUUAGGUAGUUGGUGAGGUAACGGCUCACCAAGCCGACGAUCCAUAGCUGGUCUGAGAGGAUGAUCAGCCACACUGGGACUGAGACACGGCCCAGACUCCUACGGGAGGCAGCAGUGAGGAAUAUUGGACAAUGGAGGAAACUCUGAUCCAGCCAUGCCGCGUGAGUGAAGAAGGCCUUCGGGUUGUAAAGCUCUUUUACCCCUGACGAUAAUGACGGUAAGGGGAGAAAAAGCCACGGCUAACUUCGUGCCAGCCGCCGCGGUAAAAC